AGUCGUAACAAGGUCUCCGUUGGUGAACCAGCGGAGGGAUCAUUACCGAGUUUACAACUCCCAAACCCCAAUGUGAACGUUACCAAUCUGUUGCCUCGGCGGGAUUCUCUUGCCCCGGGCGCGUCGCAGCCCCGGAUCCCAUGGCGCCCGCCGGAGGACCAACUCCAAACUCUUUUUUUCUCUCCGUCGCGGCUCCCGUCGCGGCUCUGUUUUAUUUUUGCUCUGAGCCUUUCUCGGCGACCCUAGCGGGCGUCUCGAAAAUGAAUCAAAACUUUCAACAACGGAUCUCUUGGUUCUGGCAUCGAUGAAGAACGCAGCGAAAUGCGAUAAGUAAUGUGAAUUGCAGAAUUCAGUGAAUCAUCGAAUCUUUGAACGCACAUUGCGCCCGCCAGUAUUCUGGCGGGCAUGCCUGUCCGAGCGUCAUUUCAACCCUCGAACCCCUCCGGGGGGUCGGCGUUGGGGAUCGGCCCCUCACCGGGCCGCCCCCGAAAUACAGUGGCGGUCUCGCCGCAGCCUCUCCUGCGCAGUAGUUUGCACACUCGCACCGGGAGCGCGGCGCGGCCACAGCCGUAAAACACCCCAAACUUCUGAAAUGUUGACCUCGGAUCAGGUAGGAAUACCCGCUGAACCUAAGCAUAUCA
rnacentral:misc_RNA from 1 species